GGGAAAGUGGCUCAGUGGUAGAGCGCUUGUCUUGCAUGCAUGAGGCCCUGGGUUCGAUUCCUCAGUACCA
rnacentral:tRNA from 1 species